AUCCAGAUGACGAGUUCCGACUAGGACGAAACGCGCAUCCUGGAU
rnacentral:hammerhead_ribozyme from 1 species